GCUGGGCAUGGUGGCGCACGCCUGUAAUCCCAGCAGUUUGGGAGGCUGAGGCAGGAGGAUCAGGAGUUCAAAGCCAGCCUCAGCCAUGGUGAGGCACUAAAUAACUCAGCGAGCCCCUGUCUCUA
rnacentral:sRNA from 1 species